CUACAUAUCAAUAAGCGGAGGAAAAGAAACUAACAAGGAUUCCCAUAGUAACUGCGAGUGAAGCGGGAAAAGCUCAAAUUUAAAAUCUGGCAGUCUUUGGCUGUCCGAGUUGUAGUCUGGAGAAGUGCUUUCCGCGCUGGACCGUGUACAAGUCUCUUGGAAUAGAGCGUCAUAGAGGGUGAGAAUCCCGUCUUUGACACGGACUACCAGUGCUUUGUGAUGCGCUCUCAAAGAGUCGAGUUGUUUGGGAAUGCAGCUCAAAAUGGGUGGUAAAUUCCAUCUAAAGCUAAAUAUUGGCGAGAGACCGAUAGCGAACAAGUACCGUGAGGGAAAGAUGAAAAGCACUUUGGAAAGAGAGUUAAACAGUACGUGAAAUUGCUGAAAGGGAAACGCUUGAAGUCAGUCACGUUGGUCAGAACUCAGCCUGGCUUUUGCUUGGUGCAUUUUCUGAUUAACGGGCCAGCAUCAAUUUUGACCAUUGGAAAAAUUCUUUGGGAAUGUGGCUCCUCCGGGAGUGUUAUAGCCCAAGGUUGUAUACAGUGGUUGGGAUUGAGGAACUCAGCACGCCUUUAUGGUCGGGGUUCGCCCACGCUCGUGCUUAGGAUGCUGGCGUAAUGGCUUUAAACGACCCGUCUUGAAACACGGACCAAGGAGUCUAACAUGCCUGCGAGUGUUUGGGUGGAAAACCCGAGCGCGUAAUGAAAGUGAAAGUUGGGAUCUCUGUCGUGGAGAGCACCGACGCCCAUACCAGACCUUCUGUGACGGAUAUGCGGUUGAGCAUGUAUGUUGGGACCCGAAAGAUGGUGAACUAUGCCUGAAUAGGGUGAAGCCAGAGGAAACUCUGGUGGAGGCUCGUAGCGAUUCUGACGUGCAAAUCGAUCGUCAAAUUUGGGUAUAGGGGCGAAAGACUAAUCGAACCAUCUAGUAGCUGGUCCUGCGCCU
rnacentral:rRNA from 1 species